AACCUUGCAUUGAGUUAAUCCUCUGAGGACCAGAAGGGAAAUGUGGAGUGGUGCCAAGACUUGGGGUCAGAGCAAAGCUUGAGGGAAAAGUCCAGCACUUUCCUGCAUCAUCUCGUGUCUUCCUUGGUCUGCCCUCUGGUGAACCUGCACGGAGGAGCUGCUGCUGGAGAACAGCUUUUGUCUGCCACCGCCCACCUGGAAAGGCGACCCUGCAAACAUUCCCAGAGUCCUCCCCCUGGAAGAACUUGCCUGCAGAAGGGUGGAUUCCCUCCCUCAUGUCUUGUGCCCUACCAUGUAAUCUGGACCAUUCCUUUAGUUGUUUUUAUCUGAUGCUGAGGAGUCUGGAAGAAAGCCCCUGCCCAGAGGAGCUCCGCUGGAGAGCAGAAAGCACAAGGAAAACAAUAAAUUUCUUCCUGCAGCCCCCCUUUAGUUUGCCAUUUUGACUUCAGAUGCAAGCUGCCAUCAUUUACACAUGGAGCAGCCACAUGAAAAGCACCACUAAACAGUUCUCUGAGUUUCUCAACAAGAAACACAGCAGCUAAAUAUAUUUAAUCUGUGUGUAUUGUUCAUCUUGGCUUUAAUUUCCUGUUCUCAAAAGGUUUAGGAAUUUAAAUCCAUGAAUCAUUACUGAAGCUGUUAAUGCUUGGAGCCUUUUUCAGAAAUGGAGAUAAAGGAACUGAUAUUAAUACCAGCUUAGCACAAAUUCAGCCAGAACAACUCUGUGGGAACUUCCUGCCAUCCCAGAGAUACCUCUUGGUUUCUAACCAUGACAAAAGCUGCUAAGAGGUGGGUAGGUGGAUGAAAUCAUUCUCCCCCAGGUAAACAGGAUGCAUCCAUUUAAAAACAUCUCUCUGGCAGGUUAUGGGCUGCAUCACGCCCAUCUGGAGAUCUUCAGAGCACUGUACUGUUCCUCUGUUUCUAAAAUUGCAGCAUCUAUUGAAGCAGGGACUUUUUCAGAGUGCAGUCAUGAGAUUUCUCUGGGGCUGGAGGUCAUGCACUUACUCAGGCUGAAUAAAAGAUUGGAAGAAAUCUUUGCCCAGUUUCAUUUCACUGGGCUGUCAGAUGACUGGUUUUAUACCUGCAGGAUCCUCCCAAAGCCCUAACCUCAACAGGCUCCCCGAUAAGUCAGAAACAAAGUCUGGCUGUGAGAUGCUUCAGUAAAGGAUGGUGGCUCCCACUUUGCAGAUAUAACAGGAUUUGUUGGUAAAUCAAGUUAGUAAUCUUCUUCCAAGAGUCUGGUUUGGCUGGAAGAUCAUGUCAGACUUCCUUUGAAUCCUUUGGGAUUGAACACUGAAGGUCAAAACAGGAAGUCCAGGAGAACUCAUUGAAGGGUCCUAACUAGUGAUUUCAGAAGUGAAACAAAACUCUGUGGGGACUUUUCCAAUAUUUUUAUCUUGGCUUUAGUUCUAGAAUUUCAUAGAAAUAGAAAAUUACUGAGGUGGGAAGUGACUUCUGGAUGUCUUUUAGUCCAAUCCCCUAGUCACAGCAGGGCCAACUGCCUGGUUAAUAAUAUUUAUAAAUGUGAACGUUCAGAGGAAGCUGCCUCAUUCUUAUUUGAUUUGUACCUUUGGGUAGCAUAAAAGCAUAGAAACUACAAGGCAGCUGCAGGAAAAUGUUUGGAAGGAACACACUUCAACCUCCUGAGCAGGCUUGCUCUAAUGAUUGCUCUUUUAAGGAUGGAAGAGAAAUGGUCUGGUUUCUAGCAUCUUCCUUCCUCCACUUCCCUCAGGAAAGGGAAGACCCUGGUGUAGAGGAGGCAGUCCUGCUUCCUCUUGCUGCCUGUGCUGGGGGUGUGCUGGAGAGCUGCUGCUAACUGGAAAUUGUGCUGUGACUGGAGCCCUUGCUGCCCAACAAGUGUAUGGUGGGAGGAGGGAUGGGGACAAGGGGCAGGAGGCAGAGCAGUGUUGUGGCAGCUGAGGAAUGUGCUGGCUUGGGAAGGGCCUGGAUCUCCAGCCAUGCUGUACCAAGUCAUUCCAUGUCCUGGUGGUGAUGGAGCUGCCUCAGGCUUGUGCCAAGUGAAAGCAGUACCCUGUUUGGGAAGAACUGCACUAUUUGCUUGUACAUUUAUGAAAAUAGAGGUGAACUCUAAUGAGGAAUGACGACAUGCCUACAAAUACAUCUGUAUUUUUUAUUUUUCUCUUCUAAAACUUUAAAGACAAAGUGUUAGAGACCUACCAAGCAAAAUGCUAAGAAAUGCAUCCCCUAAGAGCUGCAGCUCCCAGUACCAGACAUGGUGGCUGAGUCCGAGUACCUCAGGGUGUUCCUUAUGGUCCUUCCAGCAAAGCACCUGUGAGCACAUUCUGGGCAGUUUGGAUUCCCUCCAAACUCCCAGCAGAGCCCUGUGACAUGCUUGCUUCUCAUGAAGGAAAAGCCUCAGUCUCCUCCUCGCCUCUGUUUUCCAUCAUCAGGGAGCUCGAGUGUCUGAGGCUGCAGCCCAUGGCUGUAUCUCUUCCUUUCAGAGAGUGCUCUGGAGCCACUCCUGCCCCUGGAACAAGUGCACUCAGAGCCAGAAAGCAUCAGGCUCAGUCGGAGCCUCUGGGGCUGUCUCUCCAUCUGUUUGUUUAAUGACGCGCAGCAGCCUCAUCUCCGACUUCGCCCCUCAGGACAAUAAUCCACUCUGAUGUUUAGGCCAGCCAGCUAUUCUUCCCAGACCAGACUGUGGUUGGGGCACUGUAGGCCAGAGAAGGCUUAAAAGUCUUUUAAUGAAUAACUUUAUGGCUCAGAAUGUUGCUCUGAGAUCUGCAGGACACACAGAAUUCUCGCUGGAGUUUGCCCGCUUGUUUUCUGCUGAAAGAAGGGAUGCGCCUCAAAAUCCAGAUAUGCUGAUUCCUGAGAUCACUGAGUGAGAGUGGCAAAGAUUUAGGGAAGAGAGACUUCACCAAAGUGCUGGUUUUAAAAUCCUCAUUUUCUUUAAUUGCUUGGCUUCCAUGGUCUUUGGUGUGAGAAAGUGGAAUGGAUUCUUUCUAUACCGAUGUUAAGGUGUCAAAAGGAAAGAGUGGCAGGGGCCCUAAUCCUAACCAUAUCCCCUUAGGAAUGCCCAGGUGGUACUAGUCUGAGUGAAAUACCCCCAGGAAAGGAAACACAUCCAGGGAUGUUCUUUGGGUUUAGUGCCCUAUUAAAUAAGGAGAAAUGUACCCUUGGGAUCAAAAAAGAAAAUAUUUGUCUUUUCCAUAGUCCAUAACUAGGUUUUACCUUUUGUUUUGGAGGUGGAGAUUGUGUGCAGUAAUUCCAGCAUGCUGUAUCUCACAUUGUGUCUCUCAGGCAGAACAAAGAGGUUACCCAGCUACUCUGGUUCUGUUCCCGAGCCCUUCAACAAAAAGGGGUUCUGUUCUGCCAUGUGCAACCUGGGCCUAGGGCACUGUGAAUAAGAUUUUCUGAAGCAGGUGACCUUAAGGUCUUUUGUAAGAUCCAUGUGCUCUUGGCUUACCAUGGGACCAGGAGAAGAUGCUUCUGGAGUCCUAGAGAAAGAGGUCUGGGAAUGGCAGGGGCAGCUACUCCACCUGCUCUGCCAUCGAGAAACUCACACCAGCCAAAAAUCCACAUCCGAACAUCUGCAGUGAGUGGCAAAGGCAGUGCCAGGCUGGAUGAAAUGCAAGCCCUGAAUUACAGAGACAGAUGGAGCGGGGUAAGAGGGAGGCAUGGGUCAGAGGAAAGCAGCAGCUGAAGCAUGAAGGGAGCUUUCUCCAGGGCGGAGGAGCAGGAGCAGUUUUCUUCUCGGAGCCAGCCGUCACCCAGCGUGGUGCUGAGCACAGGGGGCACUACCCACGCGAAGUCGCCAGCAGUGCAUCAACAAAAGCCCUAAUGAAGAACAGAGCAGGGUUAUCACUCACCCAGGAGCCGCAGCUCUGCCAAAAGAGCCACGGAUGAAGAGCACAGAUGGGAGCACGUGUCUGCACCCACCCACCCGUGUAAGUGCGGGAUGUGUGCCCAGGGCACACUGCCCUGCUUGGGUCUGCUGUCCUGAGGGCUUCCAUACAAAAGCUUCUCGAUUUGCUUGAGCCUGUGUUCAGCCAAGGAGCUUGAUUUCAGUGAAACAAGGUCAAACCCUCCUAAAACCAGGAGCCAAGGGCAAUUUGGAAUGCUUGAAUUGAUUCCAUUGAGUGGCAUCUGGGAGCUUGAACAUUUUAAGAUGCUUCCACUUAAGGCAUCAUUAACUGAUGGUGAAAGCCAG
ensembl:lncRNA